AUUGAACGCUGGCGGCAUGCUUUACACAUGCAAGUCGAACGGUAACAGCACUUCGGUGGCUGACGAGUGGCGAACGGGUGAGUAAUACAUCGGAACGUGCCUAGUAGUGGGGGAUAACUACUCGAAAGAGUAGCUAAUACCGCAUGAGAUCUAAGGAUGAAAGCAGGGGACCUUCGGGCCUUGCGCUACUAGAGCGGCUGAUGGCAGAUUAGGUAGUUGGUGGGAUAAAAGCUUACCAAGCCGACGAUCUGUAGCUGGUCUGAGAGGACGACAGCCACACUGGGACUGAGACACGGCCCAGACUCCUACGGGAGGCAGCAGUGGGGAAUUUUGGACAAUGGGCGCAAGCCUGAUCCAGCAAUGCCGCGUGCAGGAUGAAGGCCUUCGGGUUGUAAACUGCUUUUGUACGGAACGAAAAGCCCUCUUCUAAUACAGGAGGGUCAUGACGGUACCGUAAGAAUAAGCACCGGCUAACUACGUG
rnacentral:rRNA from 1 species